rnacentral:rRNA from 1 species
AGCAGCCGCGGUAAUUCCAGCUCCAAUAGCGUAUAUUAAAGUUGUUGCAGUUAAAAAGCUCGUAGUUGAAUUUCGGAGUUCUACCGUCGGUCGGGCUACCAAGUCUGUACUGGUGUGUAGAAUUCCUACCUUCUGGGGAACUAUCAUGUUAUUAAUUUAGCGUGGUAGGAAACCAGGACCUUUACCUUGAAAAAAUUAGAGUGUUCAAAGCAGGCUUAUGUCUGAAUACAUUAGCAUGGAAUAAUAGAAUAGGACGGUGGUCCUGUUUUGUUGGUUUCUGAAUCACCGUAAUGAUUAAUAGGGAUAGUUGGGGGCAUUAGUAUUCAAUUGUCAGAGGUGAAAUUCUUGGAUUUAUUGAAGACUAACUUCUGCGAAAGCAUUUGCCAAGGAUGUUUUCAUUAAUCAAGAACGAAAGUUAGGGGAUCGAAGACGAUCAGAUACCGUCGUAGUCUUAACCAUAAACUAUGCCGACUAGGGAUCGGACGAUGUUAAAUUUAUUGACUCGUUCGGCGCUUACGGG